rnacentral:lncRNA from 1 species
GAUGGUGGCGGUGGUGAGGGUGAUGGUGGGGGCGGGGAGUUGUAGUGGUAAACGGGUGGUGGUGGAGGAGAUGGUGAUGGAGGUGGCUCUAUGCAAGGAGGGGGUGGGGGUGGGGGUUCUAUACAAGGUACCGGGGAUGGAGGUGGAGGCAAAUGAGGCGGUGGAGGGGAGGAGUAUACUGGUGGAGGAGGUGAAUUUGGUGGUGGAGGUGAUGAGUAUAUGUAUACAGGUGGUGGAGGUGGUGAAUUUGGUGGUGGAGGAGGCGGAGGUGGUGGUGAAUUGUAGUAGUAAGGUGAAGGGGGUGGAGGUGAGUGAGCAAGCGGUGGUGGCGGAGGAGGUGGUGAAUUUGGUGGUGGAGGUGGUGGUGAGCGUACACAAUAAGGUAAUGGUGAUGGAGGAGGAGGUGAUGGUGGUGGUGGUGGUGGUGGUGGCGAGUAAACAGGUGGUGGAGGAGGUGGUGGUGAUGGUGGAGUAGGAGAGGGUGGUGGUGGCGAAUAAACAGGUGGGGGGGGUGGAGGAGGUGGAGGUGGCGGAGAGGGAGGUGGCGGAGAGGGAGGUGAAUAAACGGGAGGUGGAGGUGACGGAGGAGGCGGAGGAGGUGAAUAAACGGGAGGUGGAGGCGGAGGAGGCGAUGGAGGAGGUGGUGGUGGUGGUGAAGGUGAAGGAGGAUUAUAAACUGGUGGUGGCGGAGGCGAAUAGACGGGCGAUGGAGGGGGAGAAAUGGGCACGACGACAACAGGAGGCGGAGGCGGAGGCGGAGGCGGAGGCGGAGGCGGAGGCGGAGGUGCAGGCAAAACAGGAACAAACUUACGACACUUAAAAGCACUACAAUGUAUCCUUUUAGACAAAAAGGCCUUGCAUUGAGCAGCACUCCUUUGUGAAGGCCUAUUCACCAAACAAUUCUUUUCAUCAUGAAACUCCGAUAAUCCCAAA